ACUGGUCACUUGACAGUUGGACACCGUAAAGUGAAGACGCAGGAUAUGCAAGAUGAAUGGCGUGAAACGUAAGCUGUUUUCUGCUGUAGAUGGACAAGCAGUCGGGAUUUUUUCAGAUGCACCACUGUUGCCGACACGGCAGAAAUUAUAUACGUUAUCAUUUUUAUUUUAUAUUUUCCACGCUGUUCUUAUGUUUAUUUAUAUUGCGUUAGAGAAGAAACUAAAACACUG